GUGCCGGUGGUGUAAAGGCUUAGAGCAUUCCCUCCCGGUCAGAGGGAGGUGCGGGUUCGAGUCCCGCCUAGCGCC
rfam:Heligmosomoides polygyrus genome assembly, scaffold: HPBE_scaffold0000468